rnacentral:tRNA from 1 species
AAAGGGAGACCUAAUUCGGGUAUAAGACGAAAAAAUAGUAGUCGAAACCAAGAAUCAAUCCCAAAAGGUCGGAGCGAGGCGAAAUUGGCUUUCAAACUAGGUUCUGGGUUCACAGAAGACCUGAAUCAGGAACAAGGGCUAUUAGCUCAGGUGGUUAGAGCGCACCCCUGAUAAGGGUGAGGUCCCUGGUUCGAGUCCAGGAUGGCCCACCUGCACAGGUGGUAAAAACAAGAGAAGCGAGGAAUCAGCACCUUAUCUUACUUACAUAGUAAGAGAGAAUGCUGGCUCUGAGUAAAGAGUCCAGAGGAACCUUGAAAACUGCAUAGAGCUAGGUGAAAAAGCCAAAAAAGAAGACCGCAAG